CCUACGGGCGGCUGCAGUGGGGAAUAUUGGACAAUGGGGGGAACCCUGAUCCAGCCAUGCCGCGUGUGUGAAGAAGGCCCUCGGGUUGUAAAGCACUUUCAGUGAGGAAGAACGCCUGGUGGUUAAUACCCAUCAGGAAAGACAUCACUCACAGAAGAAGCACCGGCUAACUCCGUGCCAGCAGCCGCGGUAAUACGGAGGGUGCGAGCGUUAAUCGGAAUUACUGGGCGUAAAGCGCGCGUAGGUGGCUUGAUAAGCCGGUUGUGAAAGCCCCGGGCUCAACCUGGGAACGGCACCCGGAACUGUCAAGCUAGAGUGCAGGAGAGGAAGGUAGAAUUCCCGGUGUAGCGGUGAAAUGCGUAGAGAUCGGGAGGAAUACCAGUGGCGAAGGCGGCCUUCUGGACUGACACUGACACUGAGGUGCGAAAGCGUGGGUAGCAAACAGGAUUAGAUACCCGAGUAGUC
rnacentral:rRNA from 1 species